CUGGGAUGAGUCCUUUGCACAGUGGGACCAUUUCUUCUUUCCAGUAAGUCUCCGAGGGAAGUGCUGUUAGCCCAUUUUGCAGAAGAGGAAAUCGAGGCUCAGAAAGGUAGUGACACUGGCCCAAAUCACACAGUUGGGGCACAGCAGAGCUAGGAUUCAAGUCUAGUUCAAAGCUUGUGCCUUCAGCUACUGCUGUAGACAGUCGGCUGGUAUCAGGUUGAGCUGCAGUGGGAAAUCCACAUAGUCAGAGAUUGUGCUUAUGAGAAAUAGCAGCAAAGGCAUGGUUGGAUGGGAAAACAAUAAAACCCAUGGUAGCUAACAUUAACUGAGCACUUGGCAUGUGACAGACAGUCUGAUACGCACUCGCCAUUUAAUCUGCAUUACAUGGGACCCUGCUCAAGGCUUUCUUCCUUCCCCAGUCCCAUCCACCCUUACCUGCUGCGUGGGGCAAGUCGCUUCACUUUUUCAGACUUCUUGUACUUCUUUAAUGAAACGACAUUUUAUCAUCUGAAGGCAUAGGGCUGGGCCACCUGCCAUGUCUGGUUACCUCAUCCAGUUCUGGGCUUAAGUGUAUGUUGCAUUUGGCCCAAGAAUCCCCUCAAGGUAUAUGACACCUGCAUUGCAUGUAGAUACCAUGGGCUGCAUGCACCUGUGGGCUACAUACACCUGUGGGCUGCAUACACUUGUGGACUGAUACAUCUUUGGGCUGCAUACACCUGUAGGUUGCAUACGCCUGUGGGCUUCAUACAUCUGUGGGUUGCAUACACCUGUGGGCUUCAUACAUCUGUGGGCUUCAUACGUCUGUAGACUGCAUACACCUGUGGGCUUCAUACACCUGCGGGCUGCAUACACCUGUGGGUUGCAUGCACCUGUGGACUGCAUGCACCUGUGGACUGCAUACACCUGUGGAUUGCAUACACCUGUGGGCUGCAUACACUUGUGGACUGCAUGCUUG
rnacentral:lncRNA from 1 species